rnacentral:lncRNA from 1 species
UUAGUUUCCCACCCAAAAUUUUUUCAUCCAUCCCAUCGAAUCUUUGGACACAUGCAUGGAACAUUAAAUGUAGAUAAAAAAAUAAACUAAUUACACAGUUUAGUUGAGAAUCGCGAGACGAAUCUUUUAAGCCUAGUUACUCCAUGAUUAGCCUUAAGUGCUACAGUAACCCACAUAUGCUAAUGACAGAUUAAUUAUGCUUAAUAAAUUUGUCUUGAAGUUUCCUGACGAGCUAUG